UACGGAAGGUGCAAGCGUUAUCCGGAUUUACUGGGUUUAAAGGGUGCGCAGGCGGAUAUGUAAGUCAGUGGUGAAAUCUCUGGGCUUAACCCGGAAAUUGCCAUUGAUACUAUAUAUCUUGAAUGCUGUGGAGGUAAGCGGAAUAUGUCAUGUAGCGGUGAAAUGCUUAGAGAUGACAUAGAACACCUAUUGCGAAGGCAGCUUACUACGCAGAGAUUGACGCUCAUGCACGAAAGCGUGGGGAUCAAACAGG
rnacentral:rRNA from 1 species